rnacentral:rRNA from 2 species
CUUAACACAUGCAAGUCGAACGAUGAUCUCCCGCUUGCGGGGGUGAUUAGUGGCGAACGGGUGAGUAAUACGUGAGUAACCUGCCCUUGACUCUGGGAUAAGCCUGGGAAACCGGGUCUAAUACUGGAUACGACCCUCCAUCGCAUGGUGGGGGGUGGAAAGGGUUUGACUGGUUUUGGAUGGGCUCACGGCCUAUCAGCUUGUUGGUGGGGUAAUGGCUCACCAAGGCGACGACGGGUAGCCGGCCUGAGAGGGUGACCGGCCACACUGGGACUGAGACACGGCCCAGACUCCUACGGGAGGCAGCAGUGGGGAAUAUUGCACAAUGGGCGGAAGCCUGAUGCAGCGACGCCGCGUGAGGGAUGACGGCCUUCGGGUUGUAAACCUCUUUCAGCAGGGAAGAAGCCACAAGUGACGGUACCUGCAGAAGAAGCGCCGGCUAACUACGUGCCAGCAGCCGCGGUAAUACGUAGGGCGCAAGCGUUGUCCGGAAUUAUUGGGCGUAAAGAGCUCGUAGGCGGUUUGUCGCGUCUGCUGUGAAAGCCCGGGGCUCAACCCCGGGUCUGCAGUGGGUACGGGCAGACUAGAGUGCAGUAGGGGAGACUGGAAUUCCUGGUGUAGCGGUGAAAUGCGCAGAUAUCAGGAGGAACACCGAUGGCGAAGGCAGGUCUCUGGGCUGUUACUGACGCUGAGGAGCGAAAGCAUGGGGAGCGAACAGGAUUAGAUACCCUGGUAGUCC